UCCUACGGGGGGCAGCAGUGGGGGAUAUUGCACAAUGGGGGGAACCCUGAUGCAGCGACGCCGCGUGGGUGAAGAAGCGCCUCGGCGCGUAAAGCCCUGUCAGCAGGGAAGAAAAUGACGGUACCUGAAGAAGAAGCCCCGGCUAACUACGUGCCAGCAGCCGCGGUAAUACGUAGGGGGCACGCGUUAUCCGGAUUUACUGGGUGUAAAGGGCGUGUAGCCGGGUUGACAAGUCA
rnacentral:rRNA from 1 species